rnacentral:tRNA from 1 species
GGAUCCAUAGCUCAGUUGGCUAGAGCGUCACAUUGACAUUGUGAAGGCCAGAGGUUCGAGUCCUCUUGGAUCCACCA